rnacentral:rRNA from 1 species
CCUACGGGAGGCAGCAGUGGGGGAUAUUGCACAAUGGGGGGAACCCUGAUGCAGCGACGCCGCGUGGGUGAAGAAGCGCCUCGGCGCGUAAAGCCCUGUCAGCAGGGAAGAAAAUGACGGUAACUGAAGAAGAAGCACCGGCUAAUUACGUGCCAGCAGCCGCGGUAAUACGUAGGGGGCAAGCGUUAUCCGGAUUUACUGGGUGUAAAGGGGGCGCAGACGGCGAUGCAAGCCAGGAGUGAAAGCCCGGGCCCAACCCCGGGACUGCUCUUGGCACUGCGUGGCUUGAGUGCAGGAGGGGCAGGCGGAAUUCCUGGUGUAGCGGUGAAAUGCGUAGAUAUCAGGAGGAACACCGGUGGCGAAGGCGGCCUGCUGGACUGCAACUGACGUUGAGGCCCGAAAGCGUGGGGAGCAAACAGGAUUAGAUACCCCUGUAGUC